UACUGCUAGGUGUCAGGCAAGGUAAGGAAGGGUACUGCUAGGUGUCAGGCAAGGUAAGGAAGGGUACUGCUAGGUGUCAGGCAAGGUAAGGAAGGGUACUGCUAGGUGUCAGGCAAGGUAAGGAAGGGUACUGCUAGGUGUCAGGCAAGGUAAGGAAGGGUACUGCUAGGUGUCAGGCAAGGUAAGGAAGGGUACUGCUAGGUGUCAGGCAAGGUAAGGAAGGGUACUGCUAGGUGUCAGGCAAGGUAAGGAAGGGUACUGCUAGGUGUCAGGCAAGGUAAGGAAGGGUACUGCUAGGUGUCAGGCAAGGUAAGGAAGGGUACUGCUAGGUGUCAGGCAAGGUAAAGAAGGGUACUGCUAGGUGUCAGGCAAGGUAAGGAAGGGUACUGCUAGGUGUCAGGCAAGGUAAGGAAGGGUACUGCUAGGUGUCAGGCAAGGUAAGGAAGGGUACUGCUAGGUGUCAGGCAAGGUAAGGAAGGGUACUGCUAGGUGUCAGGCAAGGUAAGGAAGGGUACUGCUAGGUGUCAGGCAAGGUAAGGAAGGGUACUGCUAGACUGGUGUGAAAGGAGGAACCAAAGAGCUGCUAUACUGUGAUGUCUGUUAGAUAAACAGUAACUAAAGCCACUUGGAGAAAAAGGCCUGUUGUAAAAUCCAUCCCAGGAUUACACCACUGUCCUUAUGUGUCUUCUAAACGGUUAUGAGCUGUCAUAAAGCCUACAUAGUGAUGUCAUAACAUAUCAUAGGAUAAUGUUUUUGUGCCAUAUGCAGUGAUCAGUUAACUGUAGAUUGUAUCCUGGUCCCGUUAGGCAUUUUUAUGUAUUGUGAUAUAAGCUGACAUAACCUGUUAUGAAUGGUAAUAACACAUGUAGUAAAUUAUUAAUAAUCAUUAUUGAAGCUUUAUGAAGGAGUGUUCACCUGCUAUUCACUGUCAGGAAUCAUAACCUCACAUCGAUUUCAAUGUUGUCUAACUAAUGUUUAAAAAAAAAAAACGUUAUUUGCUGUUUCUUCAUUUGUUAAUAAUUUGUAUUUUUUUGCUUUGAGUCAUUUGGCUGAAAAUGUGCUUUUCAUAUUUGUUUAUUUAUAUCAUUGCCUUGGAUUUUCUGUUUUUCAUUGCAACCUUUGUUGGUGAGAAAAGUUUGUGUCUAGCAACACAGCACAUGUUAUUAUUUUCCACCUCAUGUUAUGCUUUCAUGAGGAAUUCAGAACAGGUAUGAUUUUGCUUGAAUUCCCCUGUUGCGU